rnacentral:rRNA from 1 species
GGUGCGAAUCUUCCGCAAUGGACGAAAGUCUGACGGAGCAACGCCGCGUGAGUGAAGAAGGUUUUCGGAUCGUAAAACUCUGUUGUGAGGGAAGAACAAGUACCAAGUAACUACUGGUACCUUGACGGUACCUCACCAGAAAGCCACGGCUAACUACGUGCCAGCAGCCGCGGUAAUUAAAA